GCCUUAGCGCGGUGGUCCCACCUGACCCCAUGCCGAACUCAGAAGUGAAACGCCGUAGCGCCGAUGGUAGUGUGGGGUCUCCCCAUGCGAGAGUAGGGAACUGCCA
rnacentral:rRNA from 2 species